rnacentral:RNase_P_RNA from 1 species
AGCACAGACUAUCUUAUCGCUGCCCGUUUUAACGGGGGGAGGAAAGUCCGGACACCAUAGCGCGGCAUAGCGGAUAACAUCCGUCGUUCGUUUGUAACGGAUAGGACAAGUGCAACAGAAAGAAUGUACAGGUAAGGCUGUAGUGAAAUCAGGUAAACUCUAUGUGGUGCAACGCCAAGUAAACCAGUGUUUGAGGGUUGCGCGCCCGAUGUUGGAGGGUAGGCGGUUUGAGCUUAUUGGUAACAAUAAGUCCAGAUAAAUGAUAAGACUCGACAGAAUCCGGCUUACAGGUCUGUAUUUUUU